ACGCUCGACACCUACGGGAGGUAGCAGUGGGGAAUAUUGCACAAUGGGGGAAACCCUGAUGCAGCGACGCCGCGUGAGCGAAGAAGUAUUUUCGGUAUGUAAAGCUCUAUCAGCAGGGAAGAAAAUGACGGUACCUGACUAAGAAGCCCCGGCUAACUACGUGCCGNNCGCGUAGUNUNGCGGCGNGNGAGNG
rnacentral:rRNA from 1 species